AAUAAGUGCAGUUUUGCACUAUUCACGUUCAAUGUUUGACCGUUUGUCUUAUCUAAAUUUUUUUAUAAUUAGUAUUUUUAUUGCUAUUAGAUGAUAAAAUAUGAAUAAUACUUUGUGUGACUAAAUAUUUUCAAUUUUUUCAAAAAAUUUUUAAAUAAGACGGACAGUCAAACAUUGGGCACGGAUAUCCACGGCUGCACUUAUU
rfam:Oryza barthii chromosome 4, whole genome shotgun sequence.